rnacentral:rRNA from 1 species
UACAGAGGGUGCAAGCGUUAAUCGGAUUUACUAGGCGUAAAGCGCGCGUAGGUGGCCAAUUAAGUCAAAUGUGAAAUCCCCGAGCUUAACUUGGGAAUUGCAUUCGAUACUGGUUGGCUAGAGUAUGGGAGAGGAUGGUAGAAUUCCAGGUGUAGCGGUGAAAUGCGUAGAGAUCUGGAGGAAUACCGAUGGCGAAGGCAGCCAUCUGGCCUAAUACUGACACUGAGGUGCGAAAGCAUGGGGAGCAAACAGG